rnacentral:rRNA from 1 species
CGUAGGCGGGACAGCAAGUCAGGAGUGAAAUACCGAGGCUCAACCUCGGGGCUGCUUUUGAAACUGUUGUUCUUGAGUAUCGGAGAGGAAAGCGGAAUUCCCAGUGUAGCGGUGAAAUGCGUAGAUAUUGGGAGGAACACCAGUGGCGAAGGCGGCUUUCUGGACGACAACUGACGCUGAGGCGCGAAAGUGUGGGGAGCAAACAGGAUUAGAUACCCUGGUAGUCCACACCGUAAACGAUGGAUACUAGGUGUAGGAGGUAUCGACUCCUUCUGUGCCGCAGUAAACACAAUAAGUAUCCCACCUGGGGAGUACGACCGCAAGGUUGAAACUCAAAGGAAUUGACGGGGGCCCGCACAAGCAGUGGAGUAUGUGGAUUAAUUCGAAGCAACGCGAAGAACCUUACCUGGUCUUGACAUCCCUCUGACCGCUCUAGAGAUAGAGUUUUCCUUCGGGACAGAGGUGACAGGUGGUGCAUGGUUGUCGUCAGCUCGUGUCGUGAGAUGUUGGGUUAAGUCCCGCAACGAGCGCAACCCCUAUUGUUAGUUGCCAGCAUUGAGUUGGGCACUCUAGCAAGACUGCCGGUGACAAAUCGGAGGAAGGUGGGGACGACGUCAAAUCAUCAUGCCCCUUAUGACCAGGGCCUCACACGUACUACAAUGGCUGAUAACAAAGUGCAGCAAAACCGCAAGGUGGAGCGAAUCACAAAAUUCAGUCUCAGUUCGGAUUGUGGGCUGCAACCCGCCCACAUGAAGUUGGAAUUGCUAGUAA